rnacentral:rRNA from 1 species
UACGUAGGGUGCAAGCGUUGUCCGGAAUUAUUGGGCGUAAAGAGCUCGUAGGCGGUUUGUCGCGUCUGCUGUGAAAACUCGGGGCUUAACCCCGGGCCUGCAGUGGGUACGGGCAGACUAGAGUGCGGUAGGGGAGCCUGGAAUUCCUGGUGUAGCGGUGAAAUGCGCAGAUAUCAGGAGGAACACCGGUGGCGAAGGCGGGUCUCUGGGCCGUAACUGACGCUGAGGAGCGAAAGCGUGGGGAGCAAACAGG